CGGCAUCGGACUUUCCUGUUAACACAAAUUUAAAAGAAGAAAGUGGAGGAAGAGAGUAUCAGGACCCCAAAGAUUCAAAAACACAUCGAAGUAUACUAGAAAUAGGAGAGCUAAAGAAAAGUUUCAUUCAACAGACAUGAAUAAAUUGCAUUUAGAAUUAAAACAAUAUGGCACUCCUUACCUUGGCUUGAGCAAUGGCUUGAU
rnacentral:misc_RNA from 1 species